GACGAACGCUGGCGGCGUGCCUAAUACAUGCAAGUAGAACGCUGAAGGAGGAGCUUGCUUCUCUGGAUGAGUUGCGAACGGGUGAGUAACGCGUAGGUAACCUGCCUGGUAGCGGGGGAUAACUAUUGGAAACGAUAGCUAAUACCGCAUAAUAGUAGAUGUCGCAUGACAUUUGCUUAAAAGGUGCAAUUGCAUCACUACCAGAUGGACCUGCGUUGUAUUAGCUAGUUGGUGAGGUAACGGCUCACCAAGGCAACGAUACAUAGCCGACCUGAGAGGGUGAUCGGCCACACUGGGACUGAGACACGGCCCAGACUCCUACGGGAGGCAGCAGUAGGGAAUCUUCGGCAAUGGACGGAAGUCUGACCGAGCAACGCCGCGGGAGGGAAGAAGGGUCUCGGAUCGUAAAGCUCUGUUGUAAGAGAAGAACGAGUGUGAGAGUGGAAAGUUCACACUGUGACGGUAUCUUAACAGAAAGGGACGGCUAACUACGUG
rnacentral:rRNA from 1 species